ensembl:lncRNA
GGGGGUGUGCGGUGCGCGGAGCGGCGGGGGGUUGGGCUGCCCGCAGCCGCUCCCCGUGCGUGAAUAGUUGUCGGUAACAUCAACCUGACGUCAUCCCCGGGUAAAAAGAUCCCUCUUUUGUUCUCCUUCCCUCCCACCGCUCCCCCUUCGAAAAUGAAAAGCGUGAACAUUUGCGAAAAAUAAAAACUAACGAGGAUUGCUCUCCCCCACGUUAAUGGCCGCGCACGGGGGGAUGUAGCGCGGAGGAUCCUGCCCGGGCUGCGCCGCGCCGCGCCGCGCCGUAAUGAAGGCGCGGGCCCUUUGAUCCGGGCUUCUGCAGGCUGCCUCUCUUUUCUUAGUUCCCUCUGCUUCCCUUUUCUGCACCCUUAAAUAUGAAUGGUGAACCGAGAAGAGAGGAGGCCAAGAGGAAAAUGUGUCUUACUGAGACUUGCCAGCUAUCCAAGUUGCAUGCAGAGAGACAGUUCCAGCUCAUGCGUCUGGCUCGGACAGCAGCAUCGGCUAUCAAACACCCUGUUGCCUGCCUUGCUCCAGGCUGGAGUAACUGCUAUGGUGAGCUGAGGGAGCUGGUGGGGGCUGCUGCUGCUGCCUGUGUUUGUGGAUGCAUCUUAUGUUACAUGCUCAGAAUGAGGGCACUGGCAGGAGAGGAGAGGUGUCUGCAAUCGCAGACUGUCACUUGUCAGGCAGAGGGGCACAGAGCAGGCUUCUUCCUGCCAGCUUAUCCCAUUGGAGUUUCUGGCCCUAGGUUUCUAUGGGAUUCUGCAACAGUGAAGUUUGAGAGGCCUGAAGGAAACAAGUUACAACAGGAUAUCCAUGCUGUGAAACUGCUAAGAACUUUUAUCUACCAUAGCUUUGAAGCCAAGACAUCAGUGCCUUUUCUGUGGUGGAAGGAGUUUGUAAGAGCAGGUGGUGCCAGGCUUAUUCCCUGUGGAAGCCAUCUCAAGACCAGCUAUUGCACUAUGAAUCCCUUCUGCCUUGGAGGAUAACCUGCCCUGGUCUUAGCAUCCGUCAUCCUGCAGCCACCAGGAGAGGGGUAACUCCUGACACUGCUCAUACUUUCAUGCUGGACUGUCCCCUUUUUUUUAUUAUACUAAAGGACAGGAAAGGAAUGUGCCAUGGUUUCAUUACUUUUGAGGAGGAAAAACAGCAACAAAGAAAAGAAAAUAGCACUCCAGUGCAAAUAUCCAGAUUUGCAACAUCCCUUGAUUUUUGUCAACAAUUAACAGAAGUGUGAUACUGGAGGCUUUUAUUAAUUGAAUAAAGCCUAGUUUUAUUUUUCUUUUCAAAAUCAUUAUCAUAUAUAUGUAUUUUUCCUUCUUUGUGUUGAAAUUGGUGAGGGUCAUCAGUACUGGCAACAGGCCUGAUGUUGUCAAGUGCUGCACUCCCCUUAACAUCAAUAGAGCCUGAAGAGUAACAAACUUGAUGCAAGAGGAGGCCUCAGAGGAGAUUGCCCUGAAGCAAAUAAAAAUUACAUCCUCUAUCGUUGUCUGUACUUAUUAUUUCCAAGUAUUCAGAUAAUUUUAAGAUGUAUAUAUGAAAGGAAAAGAUACAAACUCAGCUUCACUCUGUCUUUGACGCAUAAUGGAUAUCCCAAAAUAAGGUAUAUUGCCACUUAGGCCUUCUUUUAUGUAACUAGUGAAAUAAAUGAAUAUCUUCAUGGGAGAAUUAAAACUGUGAAAGGUAUGAAAGCCCCCGAGAAGGGGACUGUUGCCUCUGUGACUUGAGUGUCUAUAAACCUAAUGUAGGUCUCUUAUCCAAGUGUUCAUGGUUAGGAGGGGUGAGUCUAGUCCGUAUUCACUGAGAUGAUAAUGAAACUUAGGACAGGACGAUUUGUAAAUGAUAAUAUCCUUUAAUUUCUGUUUAAGGAAGGUGUGCACUCGAAUGGUUCCAGUAACUGUGUUUGCUAGAGCUGUUAGCACCUGAAGUCAAAAAACAAUGUAGCCAACAAAAAAGGAAUGAUUUUUGGGAGGGAAUCCUAGAGAAUGGGAUUUUAGUGGGGACAAGAAGAGGCAGUGUGGGAAAGAAGAAUAAGAGUAAGGUCUUGGAAGAAGGGACAGGAAAGUUAAGCUGAAUAUACCUAACUGACAUAUUAGUAAAUGCUAAUGGCCACAGCACCUCUUCAUUUAGGACCUCAAAGAAAAGUUGUUUUAGGGAAAGAAAAUAACUUCUCUUGUACGUGGAUGAUGGUCCCCUCCUAAACUAUGCUUUUGAGUCAAAGGAGAGAAACCACUGCUUUUAAGGAAAUGCUCAGCAGUUCAGCUGAGCUAUUUAGUGUCUGUUUAGGAGUGAGAUGACUCCUCCCUUGCCUGUUUCUUUCUGUUGAUGAAAAUAAAGUUGAGCGCUGUUAACUGAGAAUGUGAAUCUACGGUUUAUCAGAUGCUAUCAAGCAAUCUGUAAACAUGCAUUCACCUCCCAAUAGCUAACUAAACUGCCAAACAAGUAUUUUCUCAACAGAUUUUCUGCAUAAUGUGAGUAGGGCUUUUAGGGGAUAGAGGAGACUUGCAAGGCCGAUAUAUUUAAGAAAAGAUUAAAUGAGAUAUUUUUGGUAAAUUGCAUUUCCUUGUUAGUCAUCACAUCUCUUUUCAUUCUGAGAAACUGCCCUCUUCAGAUGUGUUCAUUUUGUUUGGCAGAAGUGCUGAUAACUCCAGAUGUUGCUGAUUCUUUUUCAGUUCAUUGCCUUAGGAAACUGUAGUUGCACCUGAGAGAAAAUAGAAGCCAACCUGGAAGAAAAAGAAAAGACAUAUAUAAAGCUUUGCUAGAGGGAAAGGAAAAUCUGGUUAAUUUAUACGCUUUGGAUGAUCUCUAAUUGUUUCCUUAAGAUGAAUUAAAAGUCUUUUUAUUCACAAAGAGCUGAGUUCAGGACCAUAUACAUUUCAUAUUAGAGUUGAAAAUAUCAACAAUUAAGAGUUGCAUUUUCUAUCUCCUCACAAGGAUUUACUACUGCAAUGGAAAACAGAUUACCAAAUGUAGCAAUUGGCAAGUAAGCAGAAGUGAUAAUAUGCGUUGAUAUUGAGAGCAGUAUCUUCAGCUGAUAUAAGUAGGUGUCAUCCUCAGACUUCAGCAGAGCUGUACCUUUUCCCCCCAUCUGAAGAUCUGGCACCUAGAUUCUUAGCUAUGGACUAUUGUAAUUUCAAACCUGGAAACAUAAUCACUUUCAAACUUCUGAAACUUGAUGGAGAAAGGUUAUUCUUGCUGUUGUAAUCUACUAGGAUAAAGCCUGAGAAAACACUGAGCAUUGAGUUUUUUCUUGCAUCAGGAGACCUUUUUUUGCUUACAUUCUCUGCUGUGUCAACAGAGGGUGACAAGGUUAAUGACAUACAGAAACUUUUCUCUCUAGAGUAGCAGUUCAUCUCUAGUUCAUGCUGCUAGCUACUGAAAGCCAUUUCACCUAACAAAAAAAAAAAAAAAAAAGAUCUCAUCCAAUUCCUGGCAGGUAAGCAUUCACAAGUCUACAACUGAUGCAAUGGAGCUUUCUCUGUCACUGAGCAGAGUGAGUGGGCAUGGCAUCCGAGUGACAUGCCUAAACACUCCACUGUGACACUUCUGGAAAGCUGGGCAGAAAUUCCUGUCCAGGGCUGGAAUACAUUGAGAUUUACAGGCUAUUACCUUCCAUGAGAAUAGCAUUCAGUCCAAGAAACCUUGCGCCUGCCGAUGAAAGUACUUCCAAGUAAAUAAAUGAAGGAACGCUUUUCUUUGGAAACCACUCCGGUAUCACUUCUGACAGAUAACAGCGACUGUGAUGAAGAGUAAACACCUCAGUCACAGGGUGAUGCGAAGCACGCUGAUGCACACACUGGAAGCAAAACCGCAGACCCGCAGCUGACGGCUGAAUCACUGCUGUAUCUAAUUAGACACAUCAGCUCAGAUAUGCAAGCUUCCAACCGUCUGAGAAGGGCUGAGAUCACUAAUACCAAUCUGUUCUUGUCCUCCCUGCUCAGAAGAGGUGCGGUGUUAAGAUUAAAGAAACAGCAUUUUGUGUCUGUGGGGUCAGCUAUGUCUGGGUGCUUGCUGUGGGGAAGGUGGGGCAGGAAGCUAAGCUCAGUGCUGUUACAUCACAUUGUCUGAUUUGGCCCUCUGGAUAAUGUCAAGGUAAAUAAAUAAAUUGCUCCUAUUUACAAUGUUGGUGAAAAACAGCAGCCCCUUGGUUUCAUAAUUCAGUGUCAUUUGAAUUGUAUAUGUUAUUGAAUCAGACAAAAUAUGUAUUUAUGCAUUAGAUUUCUUCAAAAUUCCUAGCGUGUUUUUUAACAAAAUGCAGGAAAAAUAAACCGAAAUGCUGAUCUUUUUAUUCCUAGGUUGUUUGUGACAGAGAUUCAGCAAUGCCCUGUGCUGAACGCUAUUCACAUAAUGCACAGACAGUGGAUACUGAGUUUGAAAGGGGUCUAAUCAACAGUCUUAGGAAUAAAGAGGAAUAUUAACUCAAAAAUGUUGAUGCAUGAAGGAACAUAAUUUUCUCUGUGCACAGGUACUGUUCAGGAGACAUUCAUACUAUAGCAACCACAGUGAACUAGUCCAGUGCCACUCUAAAACAAAUUAAGUUGUAG